GGGACCUACGCUGCCCUAGCGGUUCGGCUAGGGAGGAGAUUAGCGUGGUUUGAGCCACCCGUCCCGGGUACAAGUCCCGG
rnacentral:snRNA from 1 species